UAUCUGAAAUGUCUAUACUCUUAGCGGGAUGGGCUCCUUGGACCCCACAGCAUUGUCUCUGAACAGCCAAGUCUAAUCUGUCAUCAGAGUGACCUGUGUGUUCCAGGAAAAGUAGCCAACAAGGACAAGCAGCAGCUGGAACUGCCUGGGGCGCCACUCACCAGCCUCGGCCCUGCUUCAUUAAUGGAGCCCUGCCUGAAUCUCCUGCUCUGUUUUCUCCUCCAUCAGGAGACAGUCCUGGUGAGGAUAUUCCCUGCACCUCAUUGUAUGUGAUAUAAAUGUUUAAGGCUGAGUGUACUAGAGCUGACUUCUCAAAAGAAACUUUAAAAGCCACAAGGCCUCAGAACAAU